rnacentral:rRNA from 1 species
UUGGACUUGGAGGCUCCAUGCUCGCUUUUGCUUUCGAAAGCGAGCUCCUCUUAAAUGAAUUAGUGGGGUCCGCUUUGUCGAUCCUUGACGUGAUAAGAUGUUUCUACGUUUUGGAUUUGGCACCGUUUUCUCCGCUCCUAACCGUCCGUCCCAUGGACAACGAUGGUGCUUCGGUCCCUGCCGUCUACUUUGGCGGGAGGCUGGGCCCACAAAAACGACCUUGACCUCAAAUCGGGUGAGACUACCCGCUGAACUUAAGCAUAUCAAUAAGCGGAGGAAAAGAAACUAACAAGGAUUCCCCUAGUAACUGCGAGUGAAGCGGGAAAAGCUCAAAUUUAAAAUCUGGUGGUCUUUGGCCAUCCGAGUUGUAAUUUAGAGAAGCGUCUUCCGCGCUGGACCGUGCACAAGUCUCCUGGAACGGAGCGUCGUAGAGGGUGAGAAUCCCGUCUUUGGCACGGACGCACCAGGGCUUUUGUGAUGCGCUCUCGAAGAGUCGAGUUGUUUGGGAAUGCAGCUCAAAAUGGGUGGUGAACUCCAUCUAAAGCUAAAUAUUGGCGAGAGACCGAUAGCGAACAAGUACCGUGAGGGAAAGAUGAAAAGCACUUUGGAAAGAGAGUGAAACAGUACGUGAAAUUGUUGAAAGGGAAACGCUUGAAGUCAGUCGCGUCGACCGAGACUCAGCCUUGCCUCGGCUUGGUGUACUUCUCGGCUGACGGGUCAGCAUCAAUUUUGACCCUUGGAUAAUGGCUAGGGGAAUGUGACACCUUUACGGUGUGUUAUAGUCUCUCGUCGCAUACAAGGGUCGGGAUUGAGGAACUCAGCACGCGCUUUUGGCGUCGGGGCUU